AUAUGAAUCACCUGGGAAUCUUGUUGAAAUGCAAAUCCUGUAAGAGUAAAUCUAAGGUAGAGCCUGAGGUUCUGCAUUUCUAACAAGCUCCUGGGUGAUGCCAAU
rnacentral:pre_miRNA from 1 species